UACGAAGGGGGCUAGCGUUGCUCGGAAUCACUGGGCGUAAAGCGCACGUAGGCGGACUCUUAAGUCGGUGGUGAAAUCCUGGAGCUCAACUCCAGAACUGCCUUCGAUACUGGGAGUCUCGAGUCCGAGAGAGGUGAGUGGAACUGCGAGUGUAGAGGUGAAAUUCGUAGAUAUUCGCAAGAACACCAGUGGCGGAAGGCGGCUCACUGGCUCGGUACUGACGCUGAGGUGGCGAAAGCGUGGGGAGCAAACAGG
rnacentral:rRNA from 1 species